rnacentral:rRNA from 1 species
UACGGAGGGUGCGAGCGUUGUCCGGAAUCACUGGGCGUAAAGGGCGCGUAGGUGGCUUAGUAAGCGUGUGGUGAAAGCCCGGGGCUUAACCCCGGGUCUGCCGUGCGAACUGCUAUGGCUAGAGUACUGUAGAGGCAGGUUGAAUUCCGGGUGUAGCGGUGGAAUGCGUAGAGAUCCGGAAGAAUACCGGUGGCGAAGGCGGCCUGCUGGGCAGUUACUGACACUGAGGCGCGACAGCGUGGGGAGCAAACAGG